rnacentral:rRNA from 1 species
UACGUAGGGUGCAAGCGUUAAUCGGAAUUACUGGGCGUAAAGCGUGCGCAGGCGGUUAUAUAAGACAGUUGUGAAAUCCCCGGGCUCAACCUGGGAACUGCAUCUGUGACUGUAUAGCUAGAGUACGGUAGAGGGGGGAUGGAAUUCCGCGUGUAGCAGUGAAAUGCGUAGAUAUGCGGAGGAACACCGAUGGCGAAGGCAAUCCCCUGGACCUGUACUGACGCUCAUGCACGAAAGCGUGGGGAGCAAACAGG